GUGCUCGCUUCGGCAGCACAUAUACUAAAAUUGGAACGAUACAGAGAAGAUUAGCAUGGCCCCUGCGCAAGGACUGAGACGCAAAUUCGUGAAGUGUUCUUCUGUGAC
rnacentral:snRNA from 1 species